GGGAAACGUAGUCCAAAACAACAGCCGCUGCGGGUGGCCGCAUUUUCGGCGCGACCCUGGAGCCGGGGGUCCUUCCUCGGCUAUUUGCUUGGCGGAUAUUUUCUCCCAGUCUUUCCAAGAAUUUUGACCGGGUCCAGUGAAUCCGUUUUUCCUGUUA